UAGUGAGUUUGAUCCUGGCUCAGGACGAACGCUGGCGGCGGGCUUAACACAUGCAAGUCGAACGAGACCUUCGGGUCUAGUGGCGCAUGGGUGCGUAACACGUAGGUAACCUGCCCUGGAGUGGGGAAUAACUCAUCGAAAGGUGAGCUAAUACCGCAUAUUGACUAUUGAGGACAUCCUCAGCAGUUGAAAGCUAUAUGCGCUCCAGGAUGGGCCUGCGGCGGAUUAGGUAGUUGGUAGGGUAACGGCCUAUCAAGCCGACGAUCCGUAGCUGGUCUGAGAGGAUGAUCAGCCACACUGGGCACUGAGACACGGGCCAGACUCCUACGGGGAGCAGCAGUUAGGAACUC
rnacentral:rRNA from 1 species